GUCGAGCGGUAAGGCCUUUCGGGGUACACGAGCGGCGAACGGGUGAGUAACACGUGGGUGAUCUGCCCUGCACUCUGGGAUAAGCUUGGGAAACUGGGUCUAAUACCGGAUAUGACUACAGCAUGCAUGUGUUGUGGUGGAAAGAUUUAUCGGUGCAGGAUGGGCCCGCGGCCUAUCAGCUUGUUGGUGGGGUAAUGGCCUACCAAGGCGACGACGGGUAGCCGACCUGAGAGGGUGACCGGCCACACUGGGACUGAGACACGGCCCAGACUCCUACGGGAGGCAGCAGUGGGGAAUAUUGCACAAUGGGCGGAAGCCUGAUGCAGCGACGCCGCGUGAGGGAUGAAGGCCUUCGGGUUGUAAACCUCUUUCAGCAGGGACGAAGCGUGAGUGACGGUACCUGCAGAAGAAGCACCGGCUAACUACGUGCCAGCAGCCGCGGUAAUACGUAGGGUGCGAGCGUUGUCCGGAAUUACUGGGCGUAAAGAGUUCGUAGGCGGUUUGUCGCGUCGUUUGUGAAAACCCGGGGCUCAACUUCGGGCUUGCAGGCGAUACGGGCAGACUUGAGUGUUUCAGGGGAGACUGGAAUUCCUGGUGUAGCGGUGAAAUGCGCAGAUAUCAGGAGGAAC
rnacentral:rRNA from 1 species